rnacentral:rRNA from 1 species
GCACCGGCUAUCUACGUGACAGCAGCCGCGGUAAUACGUAGGGUGCAAGCGUUAUUCGGAAUUAUCUGGCGUAAAGCGUGCCCAGGCGGUUCGUUAAGACAGAUGUGAAAUCCCCGGGCUUAACUCUGGGAACUGCAUUUAUGACUGGCGGGCUAGAGUAUGACAGAGGUGGGUAGAAUUCCACGUGUAGCAGUGAAAUGCGUAGAGAUGUGGAGGAAUACCGAUGGCGAAGGCAGCCCCCUGGGCCAAUACUGACGCUCAUGCACGAAAGCGUGGGGAGCAAACAGGAUU